rnacentral:rRNA from 1 species
GGACAACUGGGCGAGAGCCUGAUCCAGCCAUGCCGCGUGCAGGAAGACUGCCCUAUGGGUUGUAAACUGCUUUUAUACGGGAAGAAACACCCCCACGUGUGGGGGUUUGACGGUACCGUAAGAAUAAGGACCGGCUAACUCCGUGCCAGCAGCCGCGGUAAUACGGAGGGUCCGAGCGUUAUCCGGAAUCAUUGGGUUUAAAGGGUCCGUAGGCGGGCAGCUCAGUCAGUGGUGAAAGUCUGUGGCUCAACCAUAGAAUUGCCAUUGAUACUGGUUGUCUUGAAUCAAUGUGAAGUGGUUAGAAUAAGUAGUGUAGCGGUGAAAUGCAUAGAUAUUACUUAGAAUACCGAUUGCGAAGGCAGAUCACUAACAUUGUAUUGACGCUGAGGGACGAAAGCGGUGGGGAGCGAAC